CGCUAGUAAUCGCGGAUCAGAAUGCCGCGGUGAAUACGUUCCCGGGUCUUGUACACACCGCCCGUCACACCAUGGGAGUCGGAAAUGCCCGAAGCCGGUGACCCAACCCGAAAGGGAGGGAGCCGUCGAAGGCAGGUCGGAUGACUGGGGUGAAGUCGUAACAAGGUAUC
rnacentral:rRNA from 1 species